AGUGAAUAGAUACCCUGGUAGUCCACGCCCUAAACGAUGUCAACUAGGUGUUGGGUGGGUAAAACCAUUUAGUACCGUAGCUAAACGCGUGAAAGUUGACCGCCUGGGGAGUACGGCCGCAAGGUUAAAACUCAAAGGAAUUGACGGGGACCCGCACAAGCGGUGGAUGAUGUGGAUUAAUUCGAUGCAACGCGAAAAACCUUACCUACCCUUGACAUGCCAGGAACUUGCCAGAGAUGGCUUGGUGCCCGAAGGGGAGCCUGGACACAGGUGCUGCAUGGCUGUCGUCAGCUCGUGUCGUGAGAUGUUGGGUUAAGUCCCGCAACGAGCGCAACCCUUGUCGUUAAUUGCCAUCAUUUGGUUGGGCACUUUAACGAGACUGCCGGUGACAAACCGGAGGAAGGUGGGGAUGACGUCAAGUCCUCAUGGCCCUUAUGGGUAGGGCUUCACACGUCAUACAAUGGUCGGUACAGAGGGUUGCCAAGCCGCGAGGCGGAGCCAAUCCCAGAAAGCCGAUCGUAGUCCGGAUUGCAGGCUGCAACUCGCCU
rnacentral:rRNA from 1 species